GGGAGUUGCUGUCAGAGACACUGGCCGGUCAGUGUUUGCUGUUGCCUGGGAUAAUAGCUUACACGGGUUAACGUUCUUCACUCAUUGCUGCCCGGACUAUGAUUUGAAUUAGUAACCUAUGAAACGGUUUGUUGAGCAGGCUGCCAGUAAAUAGCCCUGUGCGAAAGGAGAGGAGCACUCGGUUACAGGCCACUGUAGCACUUAACCUUUACACACUUCAUCACACCGCUCCCCGUGACCCUCCUGUACACUCGGAGCUGUUCAGAGUUUUGCAAUGUCUCUGUUGAAUAAUUGUAAAAAAUAUGACACGCCUGUAAUUCGCUAUAAGUUUGACUCCCUGGCAAUGGCAAGGACUGCCUUGUUCUUACUUAUGGGGUGUGUGGUGGGCUGCUGCAUGUACCCGUUCAUGUACCCGUUCAUGUACCCGUUCAUGUACCCGUUCUUCAAGAUUGAGUUUAUGGACACCGUCUACCACUGUCCUACCCGCAACGAUGUUCUGGUUAUAAUAAAGAAGUGAAGUGUGGCGCCGAUAUGGACCGGACCAAUGUAGCGGUUCCUAUCACCCUAAAAACCUAUUCAAACCUAUGUGCCUAUUCAAAAUGUAUUCCUUUGAACAUGUGUCAAUAAAAGACUGAACAGAAGCUCA